GCACCCAUGGCCUAACGGAUAAGUUGCUUUACUUCUAAUUAAGCGAUUGUAGGUUCGAGUCCCGCUGGGCGUG
rnacentral:tRNA from 1 species